GAUCGGCAACGCGAUCUCCCUAGUCCGAAUGUUGUGCCAAGCGGCCCGCGAGAACGGCCUAACCCGUCAGGAUCUAUUCCCCCAAGUGAAAAAAUACAUGGACGACCUGGAAUCCAAUACCCGAUCACUGAUCUUCACGAAUCGCCCCGACUGCCCAAUUAACUCUACAAAAAUGCACGCGGCGUAUCGGCUCGGUUUGGUUAAAGAAAUGUUCGAACGAGUCGCCGAGCAUCGGAAUUACACUAAAAUGAUGUGUGUCGAAUUUAAAAGUCUUUUGAUGAGAUCGAAACUUCCUGAGGAUCGAGUUCAAGUAUUGGACUACUUCCAUGGAAUUAUUCCAGCACUUACCUUAUCUCAUAUUAAUUAUAUGAUGGCUCAUGAGAAUCGAGUGAAGAAAACGUAUGCUCUGAAGCAUAAUAAGGAUCUUGUCGUUACUGAUGAUGGUUUUGCGGCUGGUGUCGCGUUUUUGUUGCAUAUUUUUGAUGGAUGGGAUUCGUUUUUCAAGUUGAACUGGUUUGAUAGCUAUGCUAU
rnacentral:sRNA from 1 species